GCUAGGCAUGGUGGCACGCGUCUGUAGUCCCAACUACUUGGAAGGAUUUCUUGAGCCUGAGAGUUCUGGGCUGUAGUGUGCUAUAUCAACCGGGUGUCUGCACUAAGUUUGGCAUCAAUAUGGUGAUUUCCCAGGAGCAGGGGACCUCCAGGUUGUUUAAGGAGGGGUUGAAGCAGCCCAGGUCAGAAAUGGAGGAGCAGGUCAAAACUCCUGUGAUGAUCAGUAGCAGGAUUAUGCCUAUGAGUAGCCACUGCACACCAGCCUGGACAACAUAGCAAGAC
rfam:Nomascus leucogenys chromosome 17, whole genome shotgun sequence.